AUUGAACGCUAGCGGGAUGCUUUACACAUGCAAGUCGAACGAGUGGCGGACGGGUGAGUUAUAUAUCUGAAUGUGCCCAGUAGCGGGGGAUAACUACUCGAAAGAGUUGCUAAUACCGCAUUCUAUUUGAGCGGCCUAUAUGGGAUGAGCUAGUUGGUGGGGUAAAGGUUCACCUAGGUAACUAUCCGUAGCUGGUUUGAGAGGACGACCAGCCACACUGGGACGGAGACACGGCCCAGACUCCUACGGGAGGCAGCAGUGGGGAAGUUUGGACAAUGGGGGAAACCCUGAUCCAGCCAUCCCGCGUGUAUGAGAAGGCCUUCGGGUUGUAAAGUACUUUUGGCAGAGAAGCGGUAUCUGCAGAAUAAGCACCGGCUAACUACGUGCCAGCAGCCGCGGUAAUAC
rnacentral:rRNA from 1 species